rnacentral:misc_RNA from 1 species
UUUCCGUAGGUGAACCUGCGGAAGGAUCAUUGUCGAAACCUGCCCAGCAGAACGACCCGCGAACUUGUAUAAACAACCGGGGGCGGGGGGCGUUCUCGCCCCGUGCCCCCGAACGGCGGGGAGACACUCGUGCCUUCUUGCCGAACAACGAACCCCGGCGCGGUCUGCGCCAAGGAACUUCAACUAAAGAGUGCCUCCGGUCGCCUCGGAAACGGCGUGCGUGCCGGGGGCGAAUCUUGUGCAAAACCAUAACGACUCUCGGCAACGGAUAUCUCGGCUCUCGCAUCGAUGAAAAACGCAGC